rnacentral:rRNA from 1 species
GACGAACGCUGGCGGCGUGCUUAACACAUGCAAGUCGAACGGAAAGGCCCUGCUUUUGUGGGGUGCUCGAGUGGCGAACGGGUGAGUAACACGUGAGUAACCUGCCCUUGACUUUGGGAUAACUUCAGGAAACUGGGGCUAAUACCGGCUAGGAGCUCCUGCUGCAUGGUGGGGGUUGGAAAUUUUCGGCGGUUGGGGAUGGACUCGCGGCUUAUCAGCUUGUUGGUGGGGUAGUGGCUUACCAAGGCUUUGACGGGUAGCCGGCCUGAGAGGGUGACCGGCCACAUUGGGACUGAGAUACGGCCCAGACUCCUACGGGAGGCAGCAGUGGGGAAUAUUGCACAAUGGGCGGAAGCCUGAUGCAGCAACGCCGCGUGCGGGAUGACGGCCUUCGGGUUGUAAACCGCUUUCGCCUGUGACGAAGCGUGAGUGACGGUAAUGGGUAAAGAAGCACCGGCUAACUACGUG